rnacentral:tRNA from 1 species
GCGGAUAUGGCGGAAUUGGCAGACGCGCUAGAUUCAGGUUCUAGUGGGGUCACACCUGUGCAGGUUCAAGUCCUGUUAUCCGCACCA